AUCCCCGUAGCUCAGUGGAUAGAGCACAGGAUUCCUAAUCCUGGUGUCGGCGGUCCGAUUCCGCCCGGGGAUACCA
rnacentral:tRNA from 1 species